ACUCCUACGGGAGGCAGCAGCAGCGAAUCUUGCGCAAUGGGCGAAAGCCUGACGCAGCGACACCGCGUGGAGGAAGAAGGCUUUAGGGUUGUAAACUCCUUUUCUCGGGGAAGAGAACGGACGGUACCCGAGGAAUAAGGUUCGGCUAACUACGUGCCAGCAGCCGCGGUAAU
rnacentral:rRNA from 1 species